UACUAACUCUGGCGGCGUGCUUAACACAUGCAAGUCGAACGGAAAGGCUCCAGCUUGCUGGAGUCCUCGAGUGGCGAACGGGUGAGUAACACGUGGGUAAUCUGCCCUGCACUCUGGGAUAAGCCUGGGAAACUGGGCCUAAUACUGGAUAUGACCUUUCUCCUUAUGGGGUUUGGUGGAAAGUUUUUCGGUGUAGGAUGAGCCCGCGGCCUAUCAGCUUGUUGGUGGGGUGAUGGCCUACCAAGGCGACGACGGGUAGCCGGCCUGAGAGGGUGAUCGGCCACAUUGGGACUGAGAUACGGCCCAGACUCCUACGGGAGGCAGCAGUGGGGAAUAUUGCACAAUGGGCGGAAGCCUGAUGCAGCGACGCCGCGUGAGGGAUGACGGCCUUCGGGUUGUAAACCUCUUUCAGCAGGGACGAAGCGUAAGUGACGGUACCUGCAGAAGAAGCACCGGCUAACUAUGUG
rnacentral:rRNA from 1 species